GUGACGUCAAGCUUCCAAGAAAAGCCCUAUACCCGUUAAGGCAUCAUGGCCUGUACCCGAAACCGACACAGGUGGGGUGGUAGAGAAUACCGAGGGGCGCGAGGUAACUCUCUCUAAGGAACUCGGCAAAAUGGCCCCGUAACUUCGGGAGAAGGGGUGCCACCGCAAGGUGGUCGCAGUGAAGAGGCCCAGGCGACUGUUUACCAAAAACACAGGUCUCCGCUAAGUCGCAAGACGAUGUAUGGGGGCUGACGCCUGCCCAGUGCCGGAAGGUUAAGGAAGCUGGUCAGCGCAAGCGAAGCUGGCGACUGAAGCCCCGGUGAACGGCGGCCGUAACAAUAACGGUCCUAAGGUAGCGAAAUUCCUUGUCGGGUAAGUUCCGACCCGCACGAAAGGCGUAACGAUCUGGGCGCUGUCUCGGAGAGAGGCUCGGCGAAAUAGAAUUGUCUGUGAAGAUGCGGACUACGUGCACCCGGACAGAAAGACCCUAUGAAGCUUUACUGUAGCUUGGUAUUGUGCCCGGGCUCUGAAUGCGCAGGAUAGGUGGGAGGCUUUGAUCAUCGGCUUGCGGGUCGAUGUGAGCCGACGGUGAGAUACCACUCUUUCAGAGCUAGGGUUCUAACAGUCACCCGUUAUCCGGGGACUGGACAGUAUCAGGUGGGCAGUUUGACUGGGGCGGUCGCCUCCUAAAAGGUAACGGAGGCGCGCAAAGGUCUGCUCAGGCUGGUUGGAAAUCAGCCGACGAGUGUAAAAGCAGAAGCAGGCUUGACUGUGAGACCUACAAGUCGAACAGGGAGGAAACUCGGCUUCAGUGAUCCGACGGUUCUGCGUGGAAGGGCCGUCGCUCAACGGAUAAAAGUUACUCUAAGGAUAACAGGCUGAUCUCCCCCAAGAGUUCACAUCGACGGGGAGGUUUGGCACCUCGAUGUCGGCUCAUCGCAACCUGGGGCUGAAGUCGGUCCCAAGGGUUGGGCUGUUCGCCCAUUAAAGCGGUACGCGAGCUGGGUUCAGAACGUCGUGAGACAGUUCGGUCCAUAUCCGGUGCAUGCACAGGAAUAUUGAGAGGAGUUCUCCCUAGUACGAGAGGACCGGGAGGAACGCACCUCUGGUGUACCAGUUAUCGUGCCAACGGUAAACGCUGGGUAGCCAUGUGCGGAGAGGAUAACCGCUGAAAGCAUCUAAGUGGGAAGCCCACCUCAAGAUGAGUAUUCCCAUGGCGUUAGCCAGUAAGGUCACGGGAAGAACACCCGUUGAUAGGCUCUAUGUGGAAGCGCAGUAAUGCGUGAAGCAGAGGAGUACUAAUAGACCGAGGGCUUGACC
rnacentral:rRNA from 1 species